rnacentral:snRNA from 1 species
GCAGUUAACAUACAGAGCAUCACCAUGAUCACGAAGGUGGUUUUCCCAGGGCGAGGCUUAUCCAUUGCACUCUGGAUAUGCUCUGCAAUUUCCCCAAAUGUGGGAAACUUGACUGCAUAAUUUGUGGUAGUGGAGGACUGCGUUCACACUUUCCCCUG